UUACACCACUCGGGUUUGGGUACUCUGGUAUGGCAGUCCUGGUAUGGAAUCACAGGCUUGAAGGAUGUUGACCCUGAGAAGGGCUUAAAUACCUCCUUACUGGGACAAGGGUGUUUUGGAAUGCUAAGUGAGCUGCUAGUCCCCUGGGGCUCUGUUGAGAAUGCUAAGUAGAUAAGGACCUUCCUUGACUCAAGCUUGUACCUCCAACUGCAUCAAUUCACCCCCAGGGUUUUGUGACACGUGGUGAUUUGUAAACCAGAGACACCCUGAGGGCAUACUAUACAGCAUAUUUGAACCUCCAGCUCCCCUUCAGAAUCUAACACCCCACUGGCUUCCACUGCGGGACGCUGGAUCAGAGAAGUCAGCUCAGGCCCUGGGUGUCCGGGGAGAGUUUAGCGUUCCAGGGGAGUCUAUGAACCUGGCAUGGCUUCUGCACACACUCACAUGGACUAGCUCCUGGGCUGCCUCCUAGGACAUCUGUGGUCUCAGGCCGUGCUCUGGACAUCCUGGAAGCACUUGGAACAGGAUAUAAAGGCUGCGCUUUCCACCCAGCCUGACAUUCCGCUUCCAGAUGCAAGACUCUGAGCAGGCCCGAGGACAUCCCCGAAGCAGCUGGGAGCAGGGAGCUCGAGGUUCCAAUUUGAAAAGCCAAGUCUAGUGGCUUCCAGCUUGGCCCUCACGUCCGCCCUCAUUCUCCCCUCCCUGGCCCUCAAAGGUGUCUAUCCCAGGACGUGCAAUGCAGAACUGGCUACAGUUCCGGGCAUCCUUGGAGCAUCCUGACGCACGUCUCUCUGGAUAAGGGAGGGUCACGAUAUGUAAAAUGGGACGAUGGCGGUCUCAGCAUGUGUCAUGCCACCUGCCUACGUGCUGGGAACUGAACUCAGGUCCUCUGCAAGUAUAGUUUGUACCCUUUAACCAUCGAGCCAUCAUCUCCAGCCUGGCUGGUGGGGUUCUGUUGCUUUGGUUUGGUUUGGGUUUGAGGUAGGUUCUCAUGCUCCUGUCUCUCACGCUGGCUUUGUGUAGCUUAAGUGUGACCUUGAGGGGCUGGAGAGCAAUA
rnacentral:sRNA from 1 species